AAAUACAAAACAGUUAUUUUAAACUGUAAUCAUAUUUCACAAAAUUGCUGUUUUUACUGUAUAUUUAAUCAAACAAAAUCAGCCUUAGUGAGCAUAAGACACUUCUUUCUAAAACAUUAUAAUCUUACUGACCACAAACUUUUCAACGGUAUUGUAUAUAUGCAUUGAUUUGUUUACUAAUGUUUUCUUUCAUUUGUUGUGUACAGAAAAGGAAUCAGUGGAGCUUUAAUCCGCAUUUGUGUUUAGAAAUCUCUUUGGCUCUCUCUUAUUAGUAGGACCUGUUUACAUGGGUCAAAAUAGAAGGGUUCUAUUUUCACCAGCCAACUCUCACUGUCCUCCUCCAUCACAUUCACUCUUUUUUUUUUUUUUUUCCACUCCCCUCCUCCCCUCUCUCCCUCUUUAGAAGUAAAGUUGGCCUCAUAAAAUGUUAAUAAGUGCCAGAGUUACAUAAAAACAGUCUUCUAGAAUAGAAAAAACAGAGGGCAAUGAGGGCAAAGGUAGAAUGAAGAGACAGUUUGUAAUACUCAUAUCCUCUUUAAUUUACAAUAUAAAGCAAAGAAAUAUUUCUUUCUCUUUUUUUCCUUAGCUUCACUCGUUUUCUCAAGUAAACAAGCAAUUCCAUCGUAUUUCCUUAUCUUCUGAGUUACUCUUCACUGCAGAUGGGCUUGUGCUGAUAAAAGUGAAACGCUGUCCUUGUGGAAAUCCCAGACUAAAAGCUUUCAUCAGGAGUCGGUAUCAAUAACGUUUCAUUACUGCCGUGCCAGAAAAAGACAAUCCCAGUCAACCGUUUACUUUUGUCUGCACUUCACAGCUCAAGAAGCCUAUUGUACUGCUGAAUAACAACUAAAGGCUCCUAGAUGUGCUUGCUUCACAGCUUAAUGCAAAUGUAGUGGAGACUAUCGACAUUUAAAAAGAUAAACAUCAUCCGGAAGCUUCACUAGGAUGGAUUCUGGAGGUCUUUUGGAUUUGAAUGUGAAUCCUCAACCACAGGUCUUACAUGGGAAAAUGGAAAAUGUGUUUUGUGUCUCAUCAACAACAGACGCUAAAUGUCAUUUGAAAGCGAGGACCCUUGGGAUAGAGCGAGAGGAGAAGGUUUAUUGUUUCAGCCCGACAGUGGGGGAGCUGAAUCUGGCAUGGUCCAGCCGAUCUGCCGGAGACACAGGGAGGUCCUGUCCUAUCACAAUGAUGUUUGCUCAUGAGGGUGGCCUUAGUGACAGCUGUUUUGGGAGUGGAAGGAACAGAAGACUCCCAGUAUCGGCGGGAGACAAAUAGGGGGUCAGGAAAAUCAGGAAAAUGCGCAGCGGGGUGGCUCACAGCUUGGAAGACUCUCCGCACGGACAUUUAUAUGUACAAGUUCCUGGAAUUCGUAACAAAAUCGCUCCUUUUUUGUGUAUAGCUCCCAGUCUGUGCCAAAAAAUAAAUUCUCUUUCGUCAAACGAGAAGUAAAGAAUUCACUGCAUAUGUUUCCAUGAAACAAACAAAUCUGAAGCCAAUACGAAGGAAGCUUUAGCAAAGCAACACUUAAUCUCCUCACAGCCUUGCAAAUAUGUGAUUUAUCAAGUCAUGGCGAAGAAAUGCAAAGCUGUCAGUAUGCUGUUUGUAAAUGUGAAGCUCAAAUGCCAUAAAUUUGCCAAAGUCUAAUAAGUUUAGGCAACAAGAUGAUGUGUUUGUCUGCCUUUGAAGCCACAGAUUUUCCCCUUCAGUGAGUGAAAAAUGGGCGGUUUGGACUGUGACACUCUGGUUCUGAUUCAGACUUUGAGAAGGCUGAUGAUUUGUGGACCUCAAAGACUGUUGUGAUCUUGAGCAGUGUUACUGAUUCAAAUCGACUCUGUACAUUUGAUAUGAUUAGGCAUGUAAGGGCGCAGUAUAUUUUGGUGGCCUAAUUGUCAGGAUCAGGUUGUUAGCGCUAGCCUGUUCAAACACUGGGGCACUUUACCACAGUAAUACUACACUGGUGUAGAUUGUUUGUGAAGUAAAUGACUUAACUGAGAGAGACUGAGGUUUGCUGUGUGUUGCCAGAGGCUGAUCGUUUCACAUCUGUGUUUGUGUCGAAGGAGUUGAUGCAUGCAGUUUGUGGUCUCUGAGGCUCCAAUACUGAGUGUGUUAACCAAGUUUGUAUGUAUAUCUGUGUGCUUAACCCCCUACACAAAGCACGUCUUUCUCUCUCAUGCUGGAUGAGUAGUUUACUGUUUCUAAAUUCAGCUGGAAUUAUGAACAGAUUAAGUUAAAUGAGAUGAAUGUAAUAUGUGUACAUCAAAAACAGAUCGUUUGUUGUCCCAAUGACUGUCUCUGGAAGUAAAUCUCUUCCAGAAAGCUGCUAGCAAUCAUUGAUAAAUAGAGUAUGGGAAUUAUGGAACCAAUUUGUCUUUAACAGUAGUGAAUGAAAUCAUGGUGUUUUGGACCCUAUUGACUUUUAUUGCAUUGGCAUUCUUCAAAAAACCUUCUUUUGUGUUCUGCUGAAGUUUAUUUUUUUGGGGUAAACUGUACUAUUAAUACUCAAGUAUAAGGAAUAGGUGAAUGCAAGGGAGCAGGAGAGAGGAAUAUAGUUUUAUAGUUAUAGGAUUAUAUUAAAGGGUUAGUUCACCCAAAAAUGAAAAUUCUGUCAUUAAUUUCUCACCCUCAUGUCGUUCCACACCCGUAAGACCUUCGUUCAUCUUCAGAACACAAAUUAAGAUAUUUUUGAUAAAAUCCGAUGGCUCGUGAGGCCUGCAUUGAGAGCAAGUUAACUUAGACUUUCAAAUGCCCAGAAACAUACUAAAAACAUAUUUAAAACAGUUCAUGUGACUACAGUGGUUCAACCUUAAUGUUAUGAAGCGACGAGAAUACUUUUUGUGAAGAUGAACGAA